GAACUUGCUAUCUAGAUAGACCAGGCUGGCCUCAGAAUCACAUGAUGUUGUCUCCCAAAUGCUCUCCCCUAGGCCAGAGCUGCACAUGCUCCCAAGGUCCAAGGAUGAAACCUAUGUGCCCAGCAGUCACCAGAGGUCUUAGGAUGUGCAUUUCUUCAAAUCCGCCUUUCCAAACUUGUCUGGCUGGAGAGACAAUUCACUCUAACUCCAUCCUCAGUCAAACGUGCCUGGCUGGACAAACAGGAGAGUUAAGUCUGCUAAUAAAAUAGAGCAAGAGAUACAACUGUGAGGAAACUAAGAGGCUUGGAGUUUGCCCUCAGUUUAAAGAGAUUACCUG